rnacentral:lncRNA from 1 species
UCACGCCUCACAGCUGCAGAGGGAGGGGUGGAGAUGCCCAAACCAGGAGAUCAGAUUUUGAGCCCCUGUCCGUCUGAGGCCACAGCCAGGCUGCUGCCUGAACUGGGCAGAGGUAAUGCUUGUGGGAGGACACAGUGGUCUGAGUGUGAAGGGGUAAAGCUGCUUGGGACUUGGGAUGUGUCUGGGGAAAGUGUUGAUACUGCAGAAUCCUUGAAGUGGUCGCUGUCCCUGCAGGAGACCCUAAAACUCCAUUGGCCUCAUGUCCAGAACUGAAUCAGGGAAAGCAAGGGAGCUCGGGGUCCUAGGACCUGACCUCAGCGCUCACCCCCACCAGCACAACAGUCACCAGGACU